rnacentral:rRNA from 1 species
UACGUAGGGUGCGAGCGUUGUCCGGAUUUAUUGGGCGUAAAGAGCUCGUAGGCGGUUUGUCGCGUCGGCCGUGAAAUCUCCACGCUUAACGUGGAGCGUGCGGUCGAUACGGGCAGACUUGAGUUCGGUAGGGGAGACUGGAAUUCCUGGUGUAGCGGUGAAAUGCGCAGAUAUCAGGAAGAACACCAAUGGCGAAAGCAGCUUUCUGGGACGGUACUGACGCUGAGACGCGAAAGCGUGGGGAGCGAACAGG